CGAGGCGGCUGCUGGGUCAAUACGCGCCCGCAGCCCUGGAGCAGAGCAGGCGGCCGGCCCCGCCCAUUCUCGACGCGCCGGGAUGGGGCGGGGCCUCAGGUGCCCAAUCACAGUGCGCCGCCCAACGGGCCCGCCCCGCACCCUCCUUCCUGAGCCCAGGAGGAGAGAAGACCUCGGACGGCUUUUGUGAACUGGCAGGCAGCCUGGGUGGAGGUGAGGCCCUCUGAGGCCUUCAGACGCCAGCAGCCCACGUUCCACAGAGUGUGAGCUUUCUCCUCAUUUCCUUUUUGGUGCCCAGGUUUCCUGUCCUUGAGGAACCGGGCCUGGCGUGUCUGGGACGGCAACUUGGUCCCUCCAGUUUACUGUCAUCCUGUGGAACUAGAGAUGUGGGGAGGUGACACCACACCGAUAUUGUUUUUGCUGUGCAUCUCGUGUUUUCUGCUGGUGUCAAUAAAAUAGUGACAGGCCAAGACCCUUCACAGAUCUUGAAACUACUCACCUACCUAAGAGAAUCUUGACAUUGUUGACAUAAUCUUCACCUCCCUUUGCUUUUCCUUCCCUGAAAGGAAGCUGAGAGAGAGGAUGAGUCAAGUAACAGUAAACUUCGGAGAAGUGCAGGCCCGGCCUCUCUACCAUGUUUGAAUUCUGCCUUUGGAUUGCUCUUAGUAGAAAAGAAGCUGAAGAUCAAGAUGUGGAAAGAAUAGCAAAUCUCUUAGUGAAGAAACAGUCAAGAAAAUUACUGCUCUCUUAACUUAAAGAGAAACAUUAAUUAAAGGUUCUGUUUGAAUCCUUGGAACCAAGGCAACAGGAAGAAUGAAUUCUGCUGAUCACCGCAAAGAGACAGAAGAGGCUUUGACCAGAAAGUUCUUUUUUUAGUUACCAAAGCUCUGGAAUAUUCACCUGCUGGAGUAUUACAUGGAUGUCAAUCGUUCAACUGUGGCUGAGGUUUACAAGAAUAGGAGAUGGAUGUCACAACUUCUGGUUUAUAUGGUGACAGCACUUUUAAUAUAUAUUUGAGGAACCAUCCUUUUCUACACUCCAUGGAGCUAUUUUCCACAACUGACCUGCCAAGUCUUGGGGGGUGCAACACCCUGAAGAUGUCAAAGCCAGACCCAACCUCUACUCGGAAGACACUGAGGAACCUAUCUCUCUAGGUAUGUCAAUGAUGGAACAACCACUAACUCUGGAAUGCUAUCAGGACCCUAGAUUAUCGAAUGGCUGCGUCUGU